GAGACUCUCAGAAGUGGACAUGAUCAGCCUGAACAUCCUUCUUAGGAGACACGAAUAGUCCUCGACUUUCUGCCUCCUGCAUAACUGGCUUACCAAGGGAAAAGAAGUCACAUGCCAGAGUCUACUGUCCUCGUGCGAUGGAAAGCGAGCGAGAGCGACGAGACCGUGAGCAUUGUUGAUGCAAGGCAGGAGCCGUCCAGCUGGCACUGGAGCAGCUGCUGUUGUCAGUGAGAUAAGUGUCUGGUUUGGUGAGGGCUCUGCUCACGGCCCACCUGGUUCCAGGUAGCGAUGCCCCAUUAGCUGGUUCCUGACCAGGUGUGUUUACAAGGUUGAGAAGGUCCCCAAUUUCAUUGGCUGAUCAUUUCUCUGUUCACAAGCAGUGUGUCCUCUGCAGGAGAAGGGUGGAUCCAGGGGGAUAAAUCCAGCUGGUGAGUUUUUUGCCUUCGUCCCGUGUUUCUUUCUCUCUCUCUUCUCUAGUAUGUUGGCCAACACUCUCUCUCUCUCUCUGUGUGUGUGUGUGUGUGUGUCCUUGCCUCUCCUUGUGCAGUUUCCCUUCAUAGCACACAGACAGGAGUGCUAGGUGUGCAUCCCCACAGGCUUGGUCUUGGCAGCUAUGAACAAGUAGGAGGGGAUGAAAAUCAUGUGGGGCAAUGGGCACUAGAGUGGAAUAGAAGCUGUUGGUAUUGACUCGGUUACUGUUCAUCGAGUGCGGCUGAUGUAGAUGGGAUGGGAGAGGGAGGCAGGGAUGAGGGCAAGAGCUCUGUGCAAUGAUGGCUCAUGCUUGGCUUUUGCAGCUGCUUUUACAGAGGAAUUGUUGUUCAGGAGCCCCAGCCAGAGGAGAAACUGGCAGAGGUGGAUCUGAGCAGCUUGGACAUCCUUCUAAGGAGACACGAACAGUCCUGGGUUUUCUGCCUCCCGCAUAACUACACUUCAUGACUUUAUCGGCAUGGCUAAAGCCUAAGAUAAAUGCAUGGUAGAGGCUGAGUUCACGCGGCUGCUUCCCUUUAGACAAAGAAGUCAAGGAUAAGAGCCCACGCCCCUUGUGAGAUGGAAAGCACACAAGAGCUGUGAGACAGCGAGCAUUGUUGAUGCCAGGCUAUGCAGAUGCCGUCGAGCUGGGAGUGGAGCAGCCGUCACCAUCAGUGAGAUAAGUGUCUGGUCUGGUGAGGACUCUGGUAAUGGCCGACGUGACUCCCUCCCACGUUUUUUUCUUUUUCUCCUCUAAUGUGUUGGCCAGCACAUUCUGUCUGUCUCUCCCCAUCUCCUUGCCUCUCUUUGUGCCGUCUCCCUUCAUAGGACACGGGCAGGUAUGGUAGGUGUGCAACACCACAGGCUAGGUCUUGUGAGCUAUGAACAAGUAGGGUAUGGAAAUCAUGCAGUGCAGUGGGCGCUAAAGUGCAGCAAUGACUGUGGGUGUUGGCUGAGCCUCUGCUCUAGUGGGGCUGAUGUGGAUGGGAUCGGAGAGGGAGGUAGGGAUGGGGGCAAGAUUUCACGCACUAACUGAAUUUUGUGCAGUGAUGACUCUUGCUUGGCUUAUUGGCUGUGCUUGCAGAGGAAUCGUCCGGGAGCAGCAGCUGGAGGAGAAACAGCCAGAUGUGGACUUGAGCGGCCUCGACAUCCUUUACCAAGGGAAAAGACGUGGAGGGUCAAGAGUCCGCUCCCCUCAUUUGAUGGAAAGCGAGGGAGAGCAGGGAGACCACAAGCAUUAUUGAUGCCAGGCAGGAGCCAUCCAGCUGGGAGCGGAGCAGCCAUCAUCAUCAGUGAGAUAAGUGCCUGUUCGUUGAGGGCUCUGCUCACUGCCCACUUGGCUCCAGGAAAAAGACGUCACGUGUGAGAGUGUACAGCCCUCAUGAUGAGUCACUCAAAGCGAGUGAGAGUGAUGAGACUGGGAGCGUUGUUGGUGCCAGGCAGGAGCUGUCCAUCUGGGAGCAGAACAGCCGCUACUAUCACUGAGAUAAGUAUCUGUUUUGCUGAGGGUUCUGCUCCUCCAACUAGAGACACUCCGUUAGGUGGGGCUGGGUUUGUAAGAAAAGGUUCCUGACUAGCUGUUGUUAUGAGGGAAACAAGGUCCCCAUUUUCAGGGGCUGGUCAUUGCUCUGGCCAGGAGCACUGUGUCAUCUGCAGUAGAAGGUUGGAUCCAGGAGGAUGACUCCAGGUGGUGAGUUGCUUGCCUUCCUCCUAUGCUUCUCUUUUUCUCUCUUUUCUCUACUGUGUUGGCCAACAUAGUCGCUCUCUCUGUCCUUGCCUCUCCUUGUGCUGUCCUCCUUCAUAGGACAUGGGCAGACAUGCUAGGUGUGCAUCUCCACGGCCUAUGUAUUGGGAGCCAUGAAGAACUAGGAGGGGACGAAAAUCAUGCAGAGCAGUGGGCACGAGAGUGGAGCGGUGACUGUUGGUGUUAACUCCAUCUCUGUUCAUCGAGUGGGGCUGAUGUAGAUGGGAUGGAAGAGGGAGGCAGGGAUGAGGGCAAGAUUUUCAGCACCCAUAGAGCUUUGUGUAGUGAUGGUUCAUGCUUGGCUUUUGUCUAGGAGACCCAGCCAAAGGAAGAGGUGGCAGAAGAGGAUCUGAGCUUCCUGGACAUCCUUCUAAGAUCUGAACAGGCUUCUGCUUUCUGCCUCCUGCUUAAUUGGCUGUGAGUAAGCAAUCAAUACUUCGAAUUGCACAUCUGUACUCACUGUAGUUUUCUUCACAGGCUAGAAGCCCAACAAUCUAGAAGCCAGAAACUGUCUAACAAGCAACUCGGAAACCAAUUAAACCGAAAACAAGCCUAAUUUCUGCGUCGUCUUUGCAGUGUUUGUUAAAAAUGGAAAAGAAGUCAAACAUAAGAGUUUACUCCCCUCGUACGAUGAAAUGCGAGCGAGGGCAGGGCGACCACAAACCUUCUUGAAAUCAGGCGGGAGCCAUACAUCUGGGAGUGGAGCAGCCACGACUGUCAGCGGGAUAAGUGUCUGGUUUGGUGAGGGCUCUGCUCAAGGCCACCUGGUUCCAUGUAGGGACACCCUGUUAGGUGGGGCUGGGUUUGUAAGAAAAGAAUCCUGUCUUGCUGUGGUUAUGAGGGAGACAGGGCCGUCCAGGGGAGGGGCGCC